GCUUUCUUAAAAAUAAACGUUUAAUAAUUUUUGGUACAAUGGGCCCUCUACUCUUUCAAUUUUUAAGCCUAUUGAAUAUAAAUACCCAUACUAUUAUUUUUGUUUUUUGAAUAAAUGGUGAUGUAAACUGCAGGCCCUAAAAAUUGGGGGCCAAAAGUAGGAGCUUCACCUGCUACACCAAAAAGCUGGCACUGUUACUAAUUUCUUGAAGAUUCAGCUCAUUCAAGUUUUUUCCUGAUCCGUCUCAAACUCUCUCUUUGUAUUUUUUUCCUCAAGACAAAUUAGCACAAGUAUUUCACAACAUCCUCAUCAAAUGGCUUUUUAAUGUAAAGAUAAGCCUCGUUUUCCAAAGUUUUGAUGAGGAUAUUACAAAAUACUUGUGUCAAUUUGUAUUGAGGAAAAAAUACAAAGAGAGAAAGCAAGAGAAGGAUCAAAAAAAUAAAAAAAAUGAGAUGAAUCUUGAAGAAAUUGGAAUAAAUAAUAUUUUUGAAGAAAAUGAAGAACAUAUGUAUGAAUAUGAAUGCCAAACUUUUUCUCUAAGAUAAAAAAUGGUAGAGAUCAAGUACCAACUAUGUAGUAUAUUUAUAGGCUGCUCAUGCUAUAACCUUCCCCCUUCAUUAUGUGGCUUCCACUUUCUCUAUGUGUUACACAGGACGAAUCCAACUAAAUUCAAAAAUAACUCUUGAGGUAGUAAAAUUAUUGUUUAUCUAGAAAUGAUACACCAAAGAUACAAAGGCUCAAGAACAAUCAAGCCAGAAAGGAAAUAAACAUGUACUCAUAAGAAAGACGGCUCCAAGAUUGGAAGAAUGUCAAUCACAAGAAAGCCAACUUUGAGAUUGGAAGAAUUUCAAUCACGAAGAUUAGUGGCUUUCAAGUUUUACGGCAAGCAAAUCAAUCAAGACCAAAGCAAAAGGAAAGUAGCCACGCUAUCAAUCACGGAGAAUACUAGACUCCCAGAAUUGUGGCAGAUCGAAUAAAUCAAGACGAAGAGCCAAGGAAAAGAAGACCACACCCUCUACAUGGACAUAUCUGAUAUGGUCAUGAAUGACUGUGAAAACUGCACCACGUAUGAACAUAUCUGAUAUGGACAUACUUUAUGGCGCCAUUCCUCAAUCAAGGAAUCAAUUUACAUCCUUGAUUGAGAAGAAAUCUCUUGAUUUCCCUUAUGAAUAAUAGAAGCUGAAGCAGCUGAUGAUUAUAAAAGAGAAGACCAAAGACCGAAACACUCACACAACUUCAAGAAAGAAUCUCAGAGUGUCUUAAUCUAGUCAGACAAAUCUUGUACUUCUUAGUUUAUAAUAGCUAUAUAAAGAAUUAGAUUGAGUCAACUUUGUAAUAUAAACUGAGGUUGCGUCACAAGAUCUGAGAAGCAAAAUAAUUCUUCAGAACUUGUUUACCAA